UUACGACCAUAUCACGUAGACUCACCGGUUCCAGUACGACCACCGAAGUUAAGCAACAUCAAACCUGGGCAUACCUAGAUGGGUGACCGUUUGGAAAUACCAGGUGCUGUAA